rnacentral:rRNA from 1 species
AUGGCUCGCGGCGAUCAUCAAGACGAUGGUGAUGAUUUCAUGGAGUUACCGCAGCAGAAUCGCGCAACUGGACGGACAAAAGACGGCAAUGAGAAGAAGAAACGUAAUCGCAAUAGGGCUUCACAGGAACGCCUGACUAUAUUGACCGAGGGAUUUACCGACGACCAGAAGGGAGCUGCUGCUGAGUUGGGGAUGCAGGCUCUGAUGGAUGUUCGGUGCAAGAAUCUAGUGAACCCUGUAUGCGACUGGCUCGGUGAGAUUUACGAGCCCACCUCCAGGGAAUUUGUGAUUCCGGGACGUGGAAGACUGCCGUUAGACGAGGAAUCCGUGUUCUGCACGUUGGGUGUGCCCCGUGGAGAAAUCAAAGUCCCGUAUGAGGGCAUGAAAACCCAUGGCGAAGUUUUUAAGAUGAAGCUACUCAUGUACCUGAUCUCAGCUGUUUUUGCGCCGACCACAUCUCUUCGCCCAAGCAACAAAUGCUUCCCCAUCCUGGCAAAACUGAAAGAUGUGAAGAACAUGAAUUGGUGUAAGUUCAUUGCGGACUUCCUGCAUGAUGCAUUCUCAAACAAGAUGUACCAGAAGGGUUGUCGACUCCAUUUAAUGCUCAUGUACGUCGAUCGUCUUGAUCUGUCCACUGUGGACUUUACUGGGAUAGGAGGCCCGCUGCCUCCACACAAGUUUGUUGUUUCUGCGUGGACUUACGAUGCUGUCAAGGCUGUGCUUGCUGCGGACAAGAUAACUGAUACGAAAUAUGGGAAACUGCAGCUGAUGGCCAAGCAUGCUAUAGACUACAGCGUGUUUGGUGGGCCUCAAAACUUUGGAAAGUGGAUGGACGUGCACUCAGCUCCGUCUUGUCCUGUUGAGGCGAGGGCACCUAUUGAGCAUCUAAUUGGGCAGUUUGCAUCCGGAAUGACCAGCUUGCUCGGGAAGUUGGUUGAGGGUUGGACGUCCCUUAAUGGCUCUGACAGCGACGCGGUUGCGAGCUCGCAGGAGCUUCCUGACACACAAGAUGAACUAGAUGGAGAUGCUGCUCUCGACAAGGACGAUGACGAUGACAUGGAGAACGUGCAACAUGACACCGACGAUGAUGAACAUGUUGAAGUUCGUGCAGGUGGUAAGAAGGGCAAGGGUGCACCAGAUGUCCCCUCACUGGAGAAAGUCAAAGAACAGAUAGCUGCGAGAGGCAAGGGGGUGUCACCCUCAAAGAGGGGGAGGGAUCCAGAGGAUGUUGGGCAGGGCUCUCCUAUCAAGAGACCAAGGACCGAUCCCUUA